rnacentral:rRNA from 1 species
UGGGGAAUAUUGGACAAUGGGCGAAAGCCUGAUCCAGCAAUGCCGCGUGAGUGAUGAAGGCCUUAGGGUUGUAAAGCUCUUUUACCCGGGAUGAUAAUGACAGUACCGGGAGAAUAAGCUCCGGCUAACUCCGUGCCAGCAGCCGCGGUAAUACGGAGGGAGCUAGCGUUAUUCGGAAUUACUGGGCGUAAAGCGCACGUAGGCGGCUUUGUAAGUUAGAGGUGAAAGCCUGGAGCUCAACUCCAGAAUUGCCUUUAAGACUGCAUCGCUUGAAUCCAGGAGAGGUGAGUGGAAUUCCGAGUGUAGAGGUGAAAUUCGUAGAUAUUCGGAAGAACACCAGUGGCGAAGGCGGCUCACUGGACUGGUAUUGACGCUGAGGUGCGAAAGCGUGGGGAGCGAAACAGGAUUAGAUACCCUGGUAGUCCACGCCGUAAACGAUGAUAACUAGCUGUCGGGCUCUUAGAGCUUCGGUGGCG